CCGCCCCUCGCCGCCCGGCGCUCUCCUCGCGUCACUCCCUCCACCCGGACGCGGUCGGGUUUCCACACGCUCUGGGCUGCCUGCGAGCCGAAUAUAGAGCUCCGAGCCACGUGGACUGCUGUCGGCUCGGGCGCGGGGACCGGAUCGCCGCCCCGAGAGGGGCUCUGCGGGGACGUCUCGGCGACACUUCGCGCCGGGGCCGCCGCCUUCAGGUUUUCCUGAGGAAUGCUAAGAGGAAAAAGGCAUAGCUUGGCCUCGGGGUCAGUUAAUUCUUUCAGCUUCCCUUGCCCCAGUCGGAGAGGUCAGCCUUCUGCAGUGGAGUCAGAGAGCUCGUUAGCUCUUCAUCAGAGGAAUGUGUAGUGUGUGCUUCAGACCAGGACCAGCUGGACCCGACUUCUUGGUUCAAACCUGCCACUCCCUGGAUGUGUGAAAUCGUUGGGGGAAACACUGACUGAAAGCACCAGCCCUGGCCAGGCAAAGACAGUAA